rnacentral:rRNA from 1 species
GACGAACGCUGGCGGCGUGCUUAACACAUGCAAGUCGAACGGAAAGGCCCUGCUUUUGUGGGGUGCUCGAGUGGCGGACGGGUGAGUAACACGUGAGUAACCUGCCCUUGACUUUGGGAUAACUUCAGGAAACUGGGGCUAAUAUCGGAUAGGAGCUCCUGCUGCAUGGUGGGGGUUGGAAAGUUUCGGCGGUUGGGGAUGGACUCGCGGCUUAUCAGCUUGUUGGUGGGGUAGUGGCCUACCAAGGCUGUGACGGGUAGGCGGCCUGAGAGGGUGACCGGCCACAUUGGGACUGAGAUACGGCCCAGAGUCGUACAGGGGGCAGCAGUGGGGAGUAUUGCACAAUGAGCGGAAGCCGGAUGCAGCAGCGCCGCGUGCGGAAUGACGGCCUUCGGGUUAUAAACCGCUUUCGCCUGUAACGAAGCGUGAGUGACGGUAAUGGGUAAAGAAGCACCGGCUAACUACGUG